rnacentral:rRNA from 1 species
AGUGAGACUGCGGGCGAGCGGAAAGAAAGUUGAAGUGAAGCGGACGUAAUCAAGGUGCCGGGAAAUAGUGGCUAGGGAAGGUAUAUAAGACCGUACCGGAAACCGACACAGGUAGGAAGGAUGAGUAAUCUAAGGCGCACGAGCGACCUCGCGUUAAGGAACUCGGCAAAAUGCGCACGUAACUUCGGAAGAAGUGCGGCUCCUGUUUGAAAGAAUUGGGAGUGACACAAAGCAGGCCCAGGCGACUGUUUAUCAAAAACACAGCCCUCUGCGAAUCAGUAAUGAGACGUAUAGGUGCUGACACCAAAGAGAGAAUGCAGGUAUAAGUAACGAAAAGACGGGUGUGAUUCCCGUCCGCCGAAAACAUAAGGUUUCCAGGGUAAAGGCAAUCUGCCCUGGGUAAGUCGGYCCCUAAGUCCAGGCCGAAAGGCGUAGACGAUGGGAAAUUGGUUUAUAAUCCGAUACCUUCUUUAGUUUCGAGGGCCGGAACCCAUGAAGUGUGAAAUCCGGCCGGCGAAUGGUGUUUCCGUCCAAACCGUCAGCCCUGAUAGGGUUUGGGAGGAAAACGGUCAGCUGAAGUCAGCCGUUACAGCGAGCGGAAGGAAAGUUGAAGCGAAGCGGACGUAAUCACGGUGCCGAGAAAUACUGUCUAGGGCUAGGCUCAAAGAUCCGUACACCGUACACGGACACAUGUGUGUGGGAUGAAUAAUCUAGGGCSCACGAGCGAUCUCGCGUUWGRGAACUCKGCAMAGUGCACACGUMACUUCGGAAGAUGUGUGGCUCUGAUAAUAGGAUAUUAAGAGCGGCAGG